rnacentral:rRNA from 1 species
AUGACGCUGGCGGAUGCUUACACCUGCAUGUUCAAACGGCAGCACGGACUUCGCCCCCUGGUGUGCUAGUGGCGAACGGGUGAGUAAUAUAUCGGAACGUGCCCAGUCGUGGGGGAUAACGUAGUGAAAAUUACGCUAAUACCGCAUACGAUCUACGGAUGAAAGCGGGGGAUCGCAAGACCUCGCGCGAUUGGAGCGGCCGAUAUCAGAUUAGGUAGUUGGUGAGGUAAAGGCUCACCAAGCCAACGAUCUGUAGCUGGUCUGAGAGGACGACCAGCCACACUGGAACUGAGACACGGUCCAGACUCCUACGGGAGGCAGCAGUGGGGAAUUUUGGACAAUGGACGCAAGUCUGAUCCAGCCAUUCCGCGUGCAGGACGAAGGCCUUCGGGUUGUAAACUGCUUUUGUACAGAACGAAAAGGUUUCUAUUAAUACUAGGAGCUCAUGACGGUACUGUAAGAAUAAGCACCGGCUAACUACGUGCCAGCAGCCGCGGUAAUACGUAGGGUGCAAGCGUUAAUCGGAAUUACUGGGCGUAAAGCGUGCGCAGGCGGUUAUGUAAGACAGAGG